UACAAUGUUCCUUGCGUACUUGCUCAUUCACAUUUUUUCAUGUGUUCAAUAAAUAACAAAAUCAAAAAAAACUAUUUCUUUACAUUCAGAGUACACGUUCAUGUACACAGAAUAUUUAGACGAGCUGUACGAGCAGUACGCAGGGCAGCAAGUUGAGUAGGCACGUUCAUUUGGAAUGCGAUAGUAACUAGUGCAAGUAUGUAGUGUUUUUUUCUGUUGCAGGAAAAAUGCAUGUGCAUCGCUGGAAUUGCUUGGAAUCCUCAAUAAAGUGGUUAAAAUGUAAUUGUUGAGCGGAGACUGCUCAAGGAACUUCAUAAAAGGUCCCAACAUUUCAAAUCUCUGCAACAUGCUGCUACCUGGUGGCAAAUCUUUGACAUGGAGAACAUUGGAACGGAUGAUGGAGCACACAGAAGUUGACGGUAUUACACGACUGUGCAUACA